AUUGAACGCUGGCGGCAUGCUUUACACAUGCAAGUCGAACGGUAACAGCACUUCGGUGGCUGACGAGUGGCGAACGGGUGAGUAAUACAUCGGAACGUGCCUAGUAGUGGGGGAUAACUACUCGAAAGAGUAGCUAAUACCGCAUGAGAUCUAAGGAUGAAAGCAGGGGACCUUCGGGCCUUGCGCUACUGGAGCGGCUGAUGGCAGAUUAGGUAGUUGGUGGGAUAAAAGCUUACCAAGCCGACGAUCUGUAGCUGGUCUGAGAGGACGACCAGCCACACUGGGACUGAGACACGGCCCAGACUCCUACGGGAGGCAGCAGUGGGGAAUUUUGGACAAUGGGCGCAAGCCUGAUCCAGCAAUGCCGCGUGCAGGAUGAAGGCCUUCGGGUUGUAAACUGCUUUUGUACGGAACGAAAAGCCCUCUUCUAAUACAGGAGGGUCAUGACGGUACCGUAAGAAUAAGCACCGGCUAACUACGUG
rnacentral:rRNA from 1 species